AGAGUUUGAUCAUGGCUCAGAGCGAACGCUGGCGGCAUGCCUAACACAUGCAAGUCGAACGUGAUCCAGGCUUCGGUCUGGUGAAAGUGGCAAACGGGUGAGUAACGCGUGGGAACCUGCCCAGAGGUAGGGAAUAACUGCGGGAAACUGCAGCUAAUACCCUAUGUGUCCUGAGGGACAAAGAUUUAUCGCCUUUGGAGGGGCCCGCGUCGGAUUAGGUAGUUGGUGGGGUAACGGCCUACCAAGCCAUCGAUCCGUAGCUGGUCUGAGAGGAUGAUCAGCCACACUGGGACUGAGAUACGGCCCAGACUCCUACGGGAGGCAGCAGUGGGGAAUAUUGGACAAUGGGGGCAACCCUGAUCCAGCAAUGCCGCGUGAGUGAUGAAGGCCUUCGGGUUGUAAAGCUCUUUCGGCGGGGAAGAUGAUGACGGUACCCGCAGAAGAAGCCCCGGCUAACUUCGUGCCAGCAGCCGCGGUAAUACGAAGGGGGCUAGCGUUGUUCGGAAUUACUGGGCGUAAAGGGCGCGUAGGCUGUGCUGUAAGUCAGGCGUGAAAUCCCCGGGCUCAACCUGGGAAUUGCGUUUGAUACUGCGGCGCUGGAAUGCAGGAGAGGAUGGCGGAAUUCCCAGUGUAGAGGUGAAAUUCGUAGAUAUUGGGAAGAACACCGGUGGCGAAGGCGGCCAUCUGGCCUGUAAUUGACGCUGAGGCGCGAAAGCGUGGGGAGCAAACAGGAUUAGAUACCCUAGUAGUCC
rnacentral:rRNA from 1 species